GCCUAUUAAUAACUGAGAAAAGGUGUUCCUGGUUUUGCAGCAGCAAAAAUAGAUUUUGGAAAGCAAUUAAUGAUGGUUUUAAUUAGCAAGUAAUGUCUCUGCUUAACACACAAUUUCUUCUCUUACUAAAGGUAUUCUGCUGGUCUUGCUUCUCUUCAGUUUUGUUUGUGAUUCUGCUAGCAGCUUGCAAGUCCAUCCUUCCUAGCCAAUGUUUGCUCUCAGGCUUCCUGUCAGAAGCUGCCAGAAGCUUCUUCCAUGUCCAACAGAGCCAAUGCCAGCCAGUUCCAGGACUGAUGUGCCACUGGUCAAGGCUGGGCCAAUUAGAAACGAUGAGAACCCCUCUGUGAUAACAUAUUUAACAAGGAUAAAGAACAAAAAAGUUAUUGUACAGUAAUUGUGGCCAAAGACAAGUGAGUGAAAAUGUAUGAGAGGAGCAACAGUGUAGAGAAGGAGAGGCAGGAGGUGCUCCAGGACCAGAGGAUUCCUCUGUAGCCUGUGGUGAAGACCAUGGUGAAGCAGCUGUGCCUCUGCAGCCCAUGGAAGGAGAAAGGGAUCCAGAUAUCCACCUGCAGCACAUAGAGAAGCCCCUUGCCAGAGCAGGGGGAUGACUGAGAGGAGGCUGUGAUCCUGUGGUUGCUGGCAGGGACCUGCAGACCCAUGGAGAGAGGGGCCCAUGCUGGAGCAGGUUUCCUGGUAGGAUUUGUGACCCUGUGGGAACCCACACUGGAGCAGGCUGUGCCUGAAGGACUGCACCCCAUGGAAGAGUGACCCACACUGGAGCAGUUUGUGCAGAACUGUUGCCCAUGGGAUGGACUCACACUGGAGAAAUUCUUGAAGAACUGUCUCCUGUAGGAGGCACACUGCACUGGAGAAGGGGAACCUAUGUGGAAUGAACUGACCACAACCUCCAUUCUCUGUCUCCUUGCUCUGCUGGGGGAAGGAACUAGAGCCCGGGAAGGAGGGAAGACGGGGGGGUGGGGGAAGGUGUUUUUAAGAUAUAUUUUACUUUUCAUUAUCCUGCUCUCAUUUAGUUAAUAGUAAGUUCCAUGAAUAUCCCCCAUUUGAGUCUGUUCUGCCUGUGAGGGUAUUUGGACAAUGAACUCUCUGUUCUUAUCUCAACUCAUGAACCCUCUGUUAUUUUUUCUCUACCCUGUCCAGUUGCGAAGGUAAGUGAUAGAGAGGUUUUGGUGGGUGUCUGGUGUCCAGCCAGGGUCAACCCACUACUUAAAAAUAUACGUUUGAUAGGGGGUAUAGGGGGUUAUGUGAGUGUGUCUAUUGUUGUUGCCUCUUCUGUGUUCUUUAUGAGACAAAAUGUUCCUCUUCCAUAUUACAAGUCCCAUCCUCCUGUGACUCCUCCAUGUGCAAAGUGAAAUGUACAAACUCCCAGGGCUUGGGGCAGAGGAACAGUAAGACUUUCCUUUUAUGAUGUGAGAAGAAAUCGUUAGUUAUUAUUUUAUGCAGUAGCUAUAUUCUUUCCCUGAUGUGUUUCAGAUAAUUAAGUGCUGUCUAAAAUGUAAACUAUGGGAUUAGACAGCAGGUGUUUGCUUCAGGUAGUCAUAAACUCUUUUAAAAGGCUUUGAAAUACCAAUAUCAGUUAAAAAGUCUUAGUGGUAAGUAUGCUCCUGUGGAGAUUUAAUGGAAAUUUUCAAUUCAGUGCCUUUGUUCAAAGAAUGAUAUCAGGUUAUCACUCAUCUGUGACAGAAGAUAUUCAACCGGAUGUUCCAAGAAACAUGCAUCCUCUUCUGAAGCCCAUGUGUGUGGACAUGAUUCUCUGAGCCUGAGAGAGUUUUCAGCCUGUCAGUGGCUGAUCUGUUCCCAAAGGAAAGUUUCCUGAGACAUGUUUCUCUCAAGGACUGGUUUUUUGUAAAUAGGUUUUUGGUUCUCAAAACAAUGUUGUACAGAUGUCCUGAGUGUUUUCUUUUGUUCCACCAAUGGGACCAGAGAGGUGUUCCCUUUACCAAUCAUGUUAAACCUGUACAGGAACACCUUAUAAAAGGGGCUGAAAACCCUGAAAUAAAGGCUUCUGCCUUCUUGGGAUGAAACCUCUGCUGCUGUGAUUUGAAUCCACACUUCUAUUUCAUGUCCACUAGUGACACGUGUACUGAAAUUAUACUGUAACACCCUGUGUUGUUUUCAGGACAGCGCUGGUUUUGUGAGAUUCCUCAUUUCCUGCAUGCAUGACAUACCUGCCAAGGAUUCUGCUUGAGGCAAAACAAUCCUGCAUUCGGGUUUUUCAUCUCUUCCUCCAGCAAGCCUUUCCCACAUUUCUUACAAUUUUUGUUGACCCUACUCUUAUCAUGUUAAGUUCUUAUUUUCUUCCUUACUUUCCAUACUUCUAAGGAAAUGUUUUAGCUUUAAAACCAUCUGAAUAAUUGCUAAGAGAAUGAGAAGUUAUUGCAUGUUAAACAUCCAGAUGAAAUGAGUCAGGAACAGAUAUUGUCCGAUGGAAAAGAUCUAAAAUUUGUGAAGUUAUUUAAUUUAGAGAAAUUGUAAUUAAAGAAUUUGAAAGUAAUCAGCUAACAUAAAAUGAAUGCACAAAAUAUGGUACAUCCUUAAUUUUUUCCCAACAUAUGAUGUACAUAAUAGUUUUGACAGUUUGCAAAUUGCUGUUUACUAACUGUUUAAGGAAUAUACAUAUACAAAUAUAUCUAUUAAUUAUUUCCAAGAGCUAGGAAAUAUUUACAGUGAUAUGAUAUUUCACAUGAGCAAUUAUUUCCUUUUUAUCUGUGAUGUUCUCAGAAAAAAUACAUUUCACUCUGGUCUACCUGCUGACUUAGCUGCAAGAUCAUGGUAGAAUAACUGAUCAAUACUAAUGCACAUUUUUGUGACAACACCAUCAGCAAAAAGGAAUCAUAGAUAGUCCCUUAUGAUAUAAAAUGUUGGCUUGGGUACACUUAAGUGAAACUGCAAGUUUAUGAUGGAGUUUCUAAAGUUUUUUAUGUUUUAAUAGCAUAUUGCUUUUUACAGUACUGUUUGGUUUUAGCCCAAAAGGGACAUAAGAAAGAAGACACUUUACACUAUUUUUUAAAACACAUAACAAUUAUGUUGAAGCUUUUGGAAAUUUUCGAGGAGGUUUUGUGGAACACAAAACAGGAUCAAGCAAUGUGGAAAAUAGCCCUUUUAUUGGGAGUAGUUAAUGGAAUUCUGUACAAGUACUUAGUCUGUUUCUUCUUAUUUUCAUCACCUCCUGCGAGGUCCUUUAUGUGAGAUUUAAUUGCAAUGGAGAGGUACUGAAAUGCAGUGCUGGUCUUUUACACAUAGACUGCUACUCAGUGUGUAAUUCUGCAAGAAACAGUAGUAAAAAUAUUUUACUCAUUGUUUUAACUUUCCAGAUAACAACACUGUUAUAAAAUUACAAAGAAAAAUCAGUUUUGUUCCAAUCCACAUACAUUGGUAUGUAAACAUUGGUUUUGGUGUUUUGGUUUUCAUUUUUCCUUUAAGAGCUGGGAAGGAGAGGGGGCUGAGUGAGAGGUGUUUUUGAGGUCUUAUGUUGCUUCUCAUUAUCCUGCUCUGAUUUUGUUAGUAAUAAAUUCCAUUUAUAUCCCCAAGCUGAGUCUGUUUUCCAGUGAUAGCAUUAGGUGAGUGAUGUCUCAUGGUCCUUAACUCGUGAGCCUUUUGUUAAAUUUUC